CAGUCGCCGCGGUAAUACGAAGGGGGCUAGCGUUGCUCGGAAUUACUGGGCGUAAAGGGCGCGUAGGCGGACAGUUUAGUCAGAGGUGAAAGCCCAGGGCUCAACCUUGGAACUGCCUUUGAUACUGGCUGUCUUGAGUUCGGGAGAGGUGUGUGGAACGCCGGGUGUAGAGGUGAAAUUCGUAGAUAUUCGGCAGAACACCAGUGGCGAAGGCGACACACUGGCCCGAUACUGACGCUGAGGCGCGAAAGCGUGGGGAGCAAACAGGAUUAGAUACCCCUGUAGUCCCUGUCUCUUAUAC
rnacentral:rRNA from 1 species